AGCGAACGCUGGCGGCAGGCUUAACACAUGCAAGUCGAACGCCCCGCAAGGGGAGUGGCAGACGGGUGAGUAACACGUGGGAACGUACCCUUUGGUUAGGGAUAACUUGGGGAAACUCAAGCUAAUACCGGAUAAGCCCUUAUGGGGAAAGGUUUACUGCCGAAGGAUCGGCCCGCGUCUGAUUAGCUAGUUGGUGAGGUAAUGGCUCACCAAGGCGACGAUCAGUAGCUGGUCUGAGAGGAUGAUCAGCCACACUGGGACUGAGACACGGCCCAGACUCCUACGGGAGGCAGCAGUGGGGAAUAUUGGACAAUGGGGGCAACCCUGAUCCAGCCAUGCCGCGUGAGUGAUGAAGGCCUUAGGGUUGUAAAGCUCUUUUACCCGGGACGAUAAUGACCGUACCGGGAGAAUAAGCCCCGGCUAACUUCGUGCCAGCAGCCGCCGUAA
rnacentral:rRNA from 1 species